UACGGGGGGGGCAAGCGUUGUUCGGAAUUACUGGGCGUAAAGGGCGCGUAGGCGGCCAUCUAAGUCAGACGUGAAAUCCCUCGGCUCAACCGAGGAACUGCGUCUGAUACUGGAUGGCUUGAAUUCGGGAGAGGGAUGCAGAAUUCCAGGUGUAGCGGUGAAAUGCGUAGAUAUCUGGAGGAAUACCGGUGGCGAAGGCGGCAUCCUGGACCGACAUUGACGCUGAUGAGCGAAAGCUAGGGGAGCAAACGGG
rnacentral:rRNA from 1 species